UGUCCGUUAUUGCAGGAAAGAUUUGCUCAGAAAUCAGAGCAGCUCUGAUCCUCUGCCAGCCUUCACAAGUCCAUAUCACUGCACACUCACUCCAUCUCCGUCAGCAUUCGCGUUCAAGCAGUGUCACAUCGGUUUCGCCAGGCUAGUGCGGGUUAAUGAGAAACUGUGUGUGUAUGCAGGCACAUAUUCACAUGUUGGCUUUACAGGCCACAGCAACAAUCUUCAAACAUUGCUGAUUUGUAUCGAUAUGGACAAAAUGCAAACAAAACCUUUUGACUUCUCCAGUAGCAAGAAUGAGACAAAUUCAGUUCAAUUUUCUUUGUCUAGCACUUUUAAUAAUGUCACAAAGUAACUUUAUUGAAAUAUGGAUGGAGAUUUAGAACCCUAACAAGGAAUCCAGAUACGACAGUGACUAUGUUUGAAUGCAUAUCAAUAUUUCGAUAUUAAUCUAAAUUUAGCAAUACUCUAAGUAGUAUUGAGUCAUGUAAACGCCACAGUCCGACUGCCUGAUUGAGAUUAAGACAAUAUUCUGCAACACGAAUAUAGAGCUUAAAUGGAAUUUGGGUAGGGUUAGGGGUUAGGGUUAGGGUUUGGGGUUAGGGUUUGGGUUAGGGUUUGAGGUUAGGGUUAGGGUUUGGGUUAGGGGUUAGGGUUAGGAGUUAGGGUUAGGGGUUAGGGUUAGCGGUUAGGGUUAGGGUUAGGGGUUAGGGUUUGGGUUAGGGGUUAGGGUUAGGAUUAGGGUUAUGGGCUAGUGUUAGGGUUGGGGUUAGGGUUAGCGGUUAGGGUUAGGGUUAGGGGUUAAGGUUUGGGGUUAGGGUUAGGAUUAGGGUUAUGGGCUAGUGUUAGGGUUGGGGUUAGGGUUAGCGGUUAGGGUUAGGGGUUAAGGUUUGGGGUUAGGGGUUAGGGUUAGGAUUAGGGUUAUGGGCUAGUGUUAGGGUUGGGGUUAGGGUUAGGGGUUAAGGUUUGGGGUUAGGGGUUAGGGUUAGGAUUAGGGUUAUGGGCUAGUGUUAGGGUUGGGUUAGGGUUAGCGGUUAGGGUUAGGGGUUAGGGUUUGGGUUAGGGGUUAGGGUUAGGAUUAGGGUUAUGGGCUAGUGUUAGGGUUGGGGUUAGGGUUAGCGGUUAGGGUUAGGGUUAGGGGUUAAGGUUUGGGGUUAGGGGUUAGGGUUAGGAUUAGGGUUAUGGGCUAGUGUUAGGGUUGGGGUUAGGGUUAGGGUUAGGGGUUAGGGUUUGGGUUAGGGGUUAGGGUUAGGAUUAGGGUUAUGGGCUAGUGUUAGGGUUGGGGUUAGGGUUAGCGGUUAGGGUUAGGGUUAGGGGUUAAGGUUUGGGGUUAGGGGUUAGGGUUAGGGUUAUGGGCUAGGGUUAGGGUUAGGGUAGAGUUUAGGGGUUAGGGUUAUGGGUUAGGGUUAGGGGUUAAGGUUUGGGGUUAGGGUUAGGGGUUAGAAUUAUCUCCCUGAGACGACACGAGGAAGAAAAGACGAAUCAAACAUAAAAGCGAACACAUCCUUUUCUGGGUCACAGCGGAUAGUGCUAUUAUAAAUCAUUACUCAUCUCCAGCUGCAUACUCUAAAGUUAAACAGUAUUACGUGUGUUGAAAAGAUUUUCAGUUCGAGCAUCACAGUCUUUAUGAUAACAGCAACAGUUCUUAGGUACAAAUCAGCGUGUACAGGUAAGAUUACACUGAAGCGCUGAGGCGAGGGAGAGAUCAUCAACAGCAGCAGAAUAAGUAAGUAUUCAUUUCUGUAACAGAAAUUCUGCUUAGAAUUCCCAUGACUCUUUGUUUCUUUUUAGUGUUCAUUACACUGACUUUGUUAUAUAUUUAUCUAUAUAUCUAAAACAACUCAUCAUCAUCAUCAUCAUCCUGUCUCAGUUGUAAAUCAUAAAUUCUGUGCCAAACAGGAUAUAAUGUAAUGUAAUGUACAUUCUAAAUCAAUUUUUCUCAAACUUUUUAAAGCUAGGGUAAAAUGAAUUCUGGUACCCCCUCAUUACAGAUUUAUUCCAUGAACAUUAUUUAAAUGUCUACAAUAUACACGGUAUACACCAUCCACUUUAUUACCAUCCACCUGUACACCUACACAUUCAUGCAGUUAUAUAAUCAGCCAUUCUGUGUAAACUCUAGAGACUGUUGUGUGUGAAAAUCACAGGAGAUCAGCAGUAUCUGAAAUACUCAAUCCAGCCCAUCUGGCACCAAAAACCAUGCCACGGAUAAAGUCACACAGAUUAAAAUUUCCCCCCGCAUUUUGAUGUUUGAUGUGAGUAUUAACUGAAGCUCUGGACUUGUAACUGCAUAAUUGCAUGCAUUGUGCUUCUGCGACGUGAUUGGCUGAUCAGAUAAGGUCCAGGUGUACAUGUUUUCCUAAUAAAGUGGACAGUGAGUGCAUAUUUUCUCUAAUUAUUAGAGCCAUAAAGUGUUCUACUCCUGAACGUCCCACUCGAGAAACACAAUACGUCAAAUCUCAUUCUAGUUACAGAUCAGCAUGUUUGAGCGUCUACUGUUUGACGUAAAACACGCAGUCAAACAAGUUAACAGGAAACAUGUUCAUCAGUUAUAAAUGCAACAACUGGUAAUUGUGCGCUUUGUUUUCCGUCACUUUAGCAAAAAAAAUUAAAAACCAUGGGAAAUCCUUUUUCCUUUUCUAAAAAUCCCAAUGUAUUUCCUUUCCCUAUUUAAUUUGCAUCCUUUGAACUACAAGCAAAUGUUGGACUGGUUCCACUAAAAUAUUUAAACAAGACACAUAGAGAACUCACCUGAUCGUCCAGCCCUGCAUGUCACAAGACUGGUUUUACACACACACAACCACACACACACACACAGAUAUAUAUAUA
ensembl:lncRNA